rnacentral:rRNA from 1 species
GGCUCAGAGUGAACGCUAGCGGCGUGGUUAAGACAUGCAAGUCGAACGAUAAAGCCCAGCUUGCUGGGUUGAUUAGUGGCAUACGGGUGCGUAACACGUGAGCAACCUGCCUUGAAGUGGGGAAUAGCCCGGGGAAACCCGGAUUAAUACCGCAUGUGGUCCCUUUUCGCAUGAAAAGACGACUAAAGUUUGCAAUGACUCUUCAAGAGGGGCUCGCGGCCUAUCAGCUUGUUGGUGAGGUAAAGGCUCACCAAGGCUAAGACGGGUAGCUGGUCUGAGAGGAUGAUCAGCCACACUGGAACUGAGAUACGGUCCAGACACCUACGGGUGGCAGCAGUUUCGAAUCAUUCACAAUGGGGGAAACCCUGAUGGUGCAACGCCGCGUGGAGGAUGACGGCCUUCGGGUUGUAAACUCCUGUCACCAAGGAACAAACGGCAGGUUCAUAGCCUGUCCUGAGUUAACUUGGAGAGGAAGAGGUGGCUAACUCCGUGCCAGCAGCCGCGGUAAUACGGAGACCUCGAGCGUUACUCGGAUUCACUGGGCGUAAAGAGUAUGUAGGCUGUUCGGUAUGUCAGGUGUGAAAGCCCGGGGCUCAACCCCGGAAUUGCGCCUGAAACUACCGGACUCGAGGCCUGGAGAGGAGAGUGGAAUUCCUGGUGUAGCGGUGAAAUGCGUAGAUAUCAGGAGGAACACCAAUGGCGAAGGCAGCUCUCUGGACAGGUUCUGACGCUGAGAUACGAAAGCGUGGGUAGCGACAGGGAUUAGAUACCCCUGUAGUCCACGCCGUAAACGUAGUACACUAGGUUUCGGAGGGCCUACCCCUUCGGAGCUCAAGCUAACGCGAUAAGUGUACCGCCUGAGGACUACGGCCGC